rnacentral:rRNA from 1 species
UACGGAGGGUGCAAGCGUUAUCCGGAUUCACUGGGUUUAAAGGGUGCGUAGGCGGGUAGAUAAGCCCGUGGUGAAAUCUCUGAGCUUAACUCAGAAACUGCCAUGGAUACUAUUUGUCUUGAAUAUUGUGGAGGUAAGCGGAAUAUGUCAUGUAGCGGUGAAAUGCUUAGAUAUGACAUAGAACACCAAUUGCGAAGGCAGCUUACUACACAGUUAUUGACGCUGAGGCACGAAAGCGUGGGGAUCAAACAGG